CGGCGCGUUAAUGAACUCGUAAAACUUAACUUGUCACGGACUUUUCUUUGCUAAGUGAUGAACUGCGUUAAGACUCUAGUAUGAAACGAAGGCAGGGAGGUAUCUCCGGUAACCAGCAGGGGCAGAGCAGGUGACGACCAUCAGCAGGAGUGUGGCUGUCAGAGUCCAGCUGAAUUCAACCAGGCUACAAUCCCCGACCAGAAAAUCCAGGACCAGACCAGCCGUCAUGGGCCUCCAUCAUUCAGUGAAUGGAGGAAUUUAAACACCUUCACAAUGCUGGAGGGAGAGGACUGACACUGAUGACCAGAUGACCGCUGCAGCAGCAGCUACAGGAACCCCUAACCCAGUUAAUCUGACGUUCACUACCCCCAAAAGUCCUCAAGACAUUUCUCAAACCAGAGCUGCAGACCCUGCACAACCCAUCCUAAAGACCUUCACUCAGCACAGACAGGAAGUGAAGCUUCUGGACACGCCCCCUGCUACAUUCACUGAAGCCAGGCUUCCUUGGAAGUGACGUUUGUUGCCAACGGUGUCCCGUCCUCGAACUAAACGAAUCUGUCAGCACUGGAGCCGAGCCCGAGGAAACCACCUCAAAUGAUCUGUGAAUAAUAGCUGAUUAUGAACCGACCAGUCAUAAGAUGAUCACGUGUUAGCGGUCCUUAGGAAAUGUAAAACAAAAGUAUAUUUGACGAUUUACAUUGCGACAUUUAAGACGAAGCUCAAACUUGGGUUUCAUCGAAAUGAGCAAGAAUACUGUAAAUGUAAACAGUCGGAACGGUAAUAAAUUGCAGAUACAUAUACAGUGUACAGUACAUUCUCCUCAUUGUUUUCCUUUAUCGGAGCCUACAAAAUAUUUAAUUAGAAACUCAGUAUUCUCCACAUUGGCACAAAAAAACCCAAGUCAAUUUUCUUGUCGUGUCGUCCAGUGUUAUUCUGAGCGGAAUUGUAGUUUAUUCUGCGGUCAGUUGGGCGUGUUCUUACGGUGUCUCACCGGCAGGAGGAGCUGCAUGUAGUUCUACCCAUUAUCCCACUACUGUUCUUGUUUCUUUACGUUCUACACACUAAGUCAUUUGUCCGGUAUUCACGAAACACCUGGCUUUUCACUUACGGUAAAAAAAUAAAUAAAUAAAUAAAAAAUAAAAAAAGGUCGAGGCGGUGUUACUUGGUGAUUAUUUUAUUCUGUAAAGAUUCAGAAAUGUAGAAAGGAUGAUACAACAGUGCUUUAUGAUCAGAGUAUUUCAUAAAAGAGUUUCUUGUCUGUAUUUAAGUGAUCAUAACACCGUAAGUCCAGAUUCUAUUUACUGUAGUAUUUGAAACCAAAAUAAAUUUGUAACAUUCGAACACAAGUGCAUACACUGCUGGUAGGAGACUGCUCUCCAAUUUUCACUUUGGAUAGUAUAGCACCGUUCCUAGCUAUUAGCAGCUUGACAAAGAUGCAGCUUCAUAGGAUUCAUGUAGUGACUGUAGGUUGGUACAAAUACAAGAAAAUUCUCGGGAGAGCAGAGAUCUCCAUAUUUGGCUCUCUAGCUAGCACGAUAUUUCACUCUGUCGUUGUCUCCGAAUCAAAUUGUUAAUUUUGCUUUCAACCAUGUUUUUUUCUUUUUUGACAGUUAAUAUUUAACACAAUUAUAGCUUAAAGUUUAAACAUUUCCAAGAAUACAGAAAGCAGCACGAGAUCAUUUUUCACAGAUAUAUACCAACAGUAACCACUGAUGCACUGGCAUGUAUCUUUUUUUGUUUUUUUAACUUUUUUUCUUAAGGACAGCACAGUAGCUGGAAAGCGAGGUGACAGACAGACGGCUCAUAAAAACACAUGGACAGAGCUGAGUAAGGCAACGUUAGCGUGACAGGCUUCUCUCAGGGCAUUGUAGUGUAUCCAUCUCCACAAAGCUGUCAAUACCUUUAAUGUGGGGCAGUGUGUGUGUGUGUGUGUGAGAGUUGGUUUUAAAUAAGCAUUGCUGCCUUUGUUAGUGCAUUGUACAGUAUAUAGUCUCUUGCGUGUAGCCAAACUACGACAUGACACAACAUGAACACAGAUCUGAGUAAAAACAUGUUUUCGAUUGCAUCUGGACUUACAGUGACGAUAGAGGAGUAAUCAAAUCGGAGAAAAGCAAAUAACGGAAAAAUACAAAUUCAAGGCAGUGCUGAAGUACUGGAUGCUAAAAAAGUAAAAAAUAAAAUCACAAAGCCAACACAAACAUAUCCUUAACACGUCUUCUUUUAUGUCCAAUCAGUACAAACCAUCUUAUAGUGCAGAUUCAUCCCCGAAGGAAGUUUUCUUUUCUCUCUUUCCGACCCAAAUACAACACAAUCAGCCCUAAUCCUAAUCUCCUCUUCGUUCAAGUCACUUGUUCCAUUCAAGUCAAGGUGCGUCCUCUCGCUCUCUCUUUCCUUUGAUCCCUUACAUUGACUUCAUUGUGCGCCCUCCCC